UUAAUAUACACCCCUUUGUACCACUGCUGAUGUGGCAGGGGUAGUUUGGUAAUUUCAUGCAAUAGGUAGUUUGGUAAUUUCACUCACAACCACACAAUCUUCUCCUCCUCUCUUCUAUGUUCACCAUAUCGACCUUCUCCUCUUCCUUUUCUUUCUCUGGCCUCACUGUUGCCGUCGACGCCGUCGGCUAUACCGAAUUGCAACUUCAUCUCCAUCGCCAUCGUUUUGUCACCUCCAUCAACUACCACAACCGAAUCACAACUCCUUCUUCUUCAUCGUCUUCGUUUGUUACCACCUCCAUGUGUUUUGGUUUGUAUUCUAGAUCUGAUGUCUAUGGCAGUGAGUUAGUUUCUGAUAGGAGCAUUCCGAUGCUGAUGAUCAUGGCAAUGUCAUGACGUGCCCAACAAGAAAUGAUGGUUGAAUUGUGGUUCUACUAGUCUAGGGUCAUUUUCUGUUAUGGCAGCACACAAAGUCCAAUUUUCAAUAUCAAACAAUGCAGGCACUCUUGAGAACGUUAUGCCUACUAUAUUCUUAACUUAUGUGUGCUUUGGUGACAAGCCUUUUAGUGUUGCUUGUUUGUUGAUAAGAGAGACUUCCCUAUAACUCAAGGUGUUGGAAUUUUGCAACAAUGAGUGGUUGGUUGAUGGAUAAAGGGGAAUAUGCUACUAUAUAUUAGGAACAUGACAAAUUUAAGGUGUUGAAGUUUAAGAAGGUCGUGGUCCUCUACUUAUUAUGAAUUGAGUUACCUAUCAAGAAGUCUUUAUGUCCCAUUUAUUCAUGUAGUGUAGCUUGUGGUCAGACAGAUCAUAUAUUUGGCUAGUUUAUCUUUCUCAGGUAUAAAUAAUCCCGUUUUAGGCGAAUCAAACACAUAAUCUAAUUUGAUCACUA